CUGCACUCGGGCUUCUGGGGACUCGGCUUUCUCAUCGCGCUGUUCUCAGCCUGCCGCUUGCUCUCUCCGAUGGGAAUGGCGAGGCGAGAUCUAGCCUUUAGGGUGGGAAGAGAAUGCACAGAAAGCGCUAGGGAUCAAGGAGGCCGUCAAUAAACGGGAGUUGUUGCUGUGA
rnacentral:lncRNA from 1 species